GUUCAAACGAGGAAGGGCUUACGGUGGAUACCUAGGCACCCAGAGAUGAGGAAGGGCGUGGUAAGCGACGAAAUGCUUCGGGGAGUUGAAAAUGAGCAUAUAUCCGGAGAUUCCCGAAUAGGUUAACCUUUUUAACUGCUGCUAAAUCCAUGGGCAGGCAAGAGACAACCUGACAAACUGAAACAUAUUAGUAGCCAGAGGAAUAGAAAGAAAAAGCGAUUCCCGUAGUAGCGGCAAGCGAAAUGGGAGUAGCCUAAACCAUGAAAACGGGGUUGUGGGAGAGCACAAUAUAAGCUUUGUGCUACUAGGUGAAGUGGUUGAGUCCUACACCCUAGAUGGUGAGA
rnacentral:ncRNA from 1 species